CAAACCUUUGAUGGCGACCGGCGCACGGGUGAGUAACACGUAUCCAACCUGCCUCAUACUCGGGGAUAGCCUUUCGAAAGAAAGAUUAAUACCCGAUGUUAUAGUCCUACCGCAUGAUGGGAUUAUUAAAGAAUUUCGGUAUGGGAUGGGGAUGCGUUCCAUUAGUUAGUUGGCGGGGUAACGGCCCACCAAGACAACGAUGGAUAGGGGUUCUGAGAGGAAGGUCCCCCACAUUGGAACUGAGACACGGUCCAAACUCCUACGGGAGGCAGCAG
rnacentral:rRNA from 1 species